rnacentral:tmRNA from 1 species
GGGGAUGUAAAGGUUUCGACGGGGAGAGGAAAGCGAAGGCAGCGGGUCGUGUUCGGGGGACACACGUUAAACGCCUCCAAAAAAAUAGCUAACAACAACNGAUUAGCUGUCGCUGCCUAAUUAAUUAGGCAGCUGUCCCGCCCGGCUUACCGCGCGCCGGGGCCGGGGCAUCAUUUUAGCGGUGCACGUGANCGGCAUCAAGCUUUGUUUGCCGCCAUGAACUGAUGAAGCUACCGACGCGGCGGCCCGUUCACCGGCCUGCCGCCGGGGGAAUCCUGUAGGCGAACUGCACCCGGAGAUACCAGCGUGGCCCUCUUUUCGGACACGGGUUCGAUUCCCGUCAUCUCCACCA